rnacentral:rRNA from 1 species
GAGACGACGCUGGCGGCGUGCCUAACACAUGCAAGUCGAACGGAGCUAUUGACUUCGGUUGAUAGCUUAGUGGCGAACGGGUGAGUAACGCGUGAGCAACCUGUCCUUCAGAGGGGGAUAACAACGAGAAAUCGUUGCUAAUACCGCAUAAGACCACACUGUCGCAUGGCAGAGGGGUAAAAGGAGCAAUCCGCUGAUUGAGGGGCUCGCGUCCCAUUAGAUAGUAGGUGAGGUAACGGCUCACCUAGUCUGCGAUGGGUAGCCGAGCUGAGAGGCUGAACGGCCACACUGGAACUGAGACACGGUCCAGACUCCUACGGGAGGCAGCAGUGGGGAAUAUUGGGCAAUGGGCGAAAGCCUGACCCAGCAACGCCGCGUGAGGGAAGAAGGUCUUCGGAUUGUAAACCUCUGUUCUUGGUGACGAAAAAGAUGACGGUAGCCAAGGAGAAAGCCCCGGCUAACUACGUG